rnacentral:piRNA from 1 species
UCCAAGAAUUGUUUGUUCGUCACAUAGGU